AGUGAACGCUGGCGGUAGGCCUAACACGUGCAAGUCGAACGGCAGCACAGUAAGAGCUUGCUCUUACGGGUGGCGAGUGGCGGACGGGUGAGGAAUACAUCGGAAUCUACUUUUUCGUGGGGGAUAACGUAGGGAAACUUACGCUAAUACCGCAUACGACCUACGGGUGAAAGCAGGGGAUCUUCGGACCUUGCGCGAUUGAAUGAGCCGAUGUCGGAUUAGCUAGUUGGCGGGGUAAAGGCCCACCAAGGCGACGAUCCGUAGCUGGUCUGAGAGGAUGAUCAGCCACACUGGAACUGAGACACGGUCCAGACUCCUACGGGAGGCAGCAGUGGGGAAUAUUGGACAAUGGGCGCAAGCCUGAUCCAGCCAUACCGCGUGGGUGAAGAAGGCCUUCGGGUUGUAAAGCCCUUUUGUUGGGAAAGAAAAGCAGCAGGUUAAUACCCCGCUGUUCUGGCGGUACCCAAAGAAUAAGCACCGGCUAACUUCGUG
rnacentral:rRNA from 1 species